UUCAUUUUCAUGGAUAUGUUUUUCAACAACUAUUUUGCACUGAGAUGCAAAGUUCACACUAGCAACAGAAAUUCAAAAACUCAUUGUAAUGAAAGUAAAACAUUAAACUAGAGAUUCAAUCGUUAUACCCAACAUGAAUGGUAAAAUUGCAUCUUGAGGGAUUGUAGCUUUAAUUCAAUCUGACAAAGUCAGAGAGCCAUGUCUCUCUACAGUGAGAGGUUUUUGUACGGCGGCUCAGUGACUUUGUAUCACUGGUACACGUUCGGUGAAGGAACCAGACUGGAUGUUGGAUGUGAUGUCCGUCCCACCCUGACAGUGCUGCCCCCCUCCAGAGAGGAGCUGCUGAAGGGGAAGGCCACGCUCAUGUGCCUGGCCAACAAGGGCUUCCCCUCAGACUGGAGUCUGGCCUGGAAGGUGGACAGCAGCAGCAGUAGCAGCUGGGAGGAGAGCAGGAGCCCCGGGGUGAUGCAGAAGGAUGGCCACUACGGCUGGAGCAGCACCCUGAGGUUCCCUGCAGACCACUGGAGGAAGGUGGGCUCUGUGACCUGUGAGGCCACCCAGGGCUCCCAGACUCCAGUCUCAGAGACACUGAGGAGGGAUCAGUGUUCCCAGUCCUGACCUGACUCACUGGGACUCUGCUACUGCUCUCAGUCUGCACUCUCUCUCUCUCUCUCUCUCUCCUUCUCUCUCUUGUCAGACUUAAAAGAUUUAAAUUGUGAUAUUUUCUUGCUCAUAAUGACGCCAACAAGCUUUUGAUUUAAUAAAGAUUGUUUUC